UACAGAGGUAGCAAGCGUUGUUCGGAAUGACUGGGUGUAAAGCGCAUGUAGAUGGUCUUAUAAGUUGAAUGUGAAAUCCCUUGGCUCAACCAAGGAACGGCAUUCAAUACUGCAAGACUUGAGUGCAGAAGAGGAAAGCGGAAUUUCUGGUGUAGCGGUGAAAUGCGUAGAUAUCAGAAGGAACAUCUGUGGCGAAGGCGGCUUUCUGGUCUGUAACUGACAUUGAGAUGCGAAAGCUAGGGGAGCAAACAGG
rnacentral:rRNA from 1 species